GGGAGCGUCGGAUCCUGGGCUCUGUCCCCGGUGCCCUGGGAUCUGGGGCCUGCGCUGCUGGAAUCGCGCUCCCGGGGCCCCGGCUCCC
rnacentral:pre_miRNA from 1 species